GUGGGGAAUUUUGGACAAUGGGCGCAAGCCUGAUCCAGCCAUUCCGCGUGCAGGAUGAAGGCCUUCGGGUUGUAAACUGCUUUUGUACGGAACGAAAAGGUUCUCUCUAAUACAGGGGGCUGAUGACGGUACCGUAAGAAUAAGCACCGGCUAACUACGUGCCAGCAGCCGCGGUAAUACGUAGGGUGCAAGCGUUAAUCGGAAUUACUGGGCGUAAAGCGUGCGCAGGCGGUGAUGUAAGACAGAUGUGAAAUCCCCGGGCUCAACCUGGGAACUGCAUUUGUGACUGCAUUGCUGGAGUGCGGCAGAGGGGGAUGGAAUUCCGCGUGUAGCAGUGAAAUGCGUAGAUAUGCGGAGGAACACCGAUGGCGAAGGCAAUCCCCUGGGCCUGCACUGACGCUCAUGCACGAAAGCGUGGGGAGCAAACAGGAUUAGAUACCCUUGUAGUCC
rnacentral:rRNA from 1 species